rnacentral:miRNA from 1 species
UUAGGUUGGUGCAAAAGUAAUUGCAGUUUUUGUCAUUACUUUUAAUUGCAAAAGCUUUAAUUACUUUUCCACCAACCUCAUAAUUUA